rnacentral:misc_RNA from 1 species
GAGCUUUCUGUAAAGUUGAUAAGCACACCAUCAGAUGGUAUUGGUCCAACAAGAAAAUUGUUCGAUACAUUGAAAGUAAUGAGUUUAUUUAACUUCCCAAUAGAUGAUGGGAUUGACCCACUGAGAGAGUUGCUUGAGAUAUCCCUACAGAAUUGAGGAACAGAAUACCAAUGAGUAUCAUCAUUUACCAAUAUAUUAAUUGGAUAAUCAAAGCAAGAAAAUAUAAUUAAAUAAUUUCUCCCUCACUUGGGAAUCUGAAAUCAUUAAUUGGCAUUUAUGGAAAAUUAGUAACUACAUGACAGCUAAUAUUCUUUGGAUCUUUGAUCUUUCUAACAAAUAACUCAAUCCUAGUAGAAUCUUUGUUUUUCUUCUAUUUAUUUUCUUUGCCAUUAGCAACAUUGCUAAUGUAAGGCAUGAAUUUAUUUUACAUCAUUUUAUAGAAACAGAACGAAGUAAGUUGGUGUAAACCAAGAAGCUUGAUUUCCUUACUAUCUUCCGCUAGGAUGAAGUAACUAUCAUGAUAGUACUCAAUUUCUGUCUAUAUAAAAUGCAAGUAGAAAACCUACUAAAUCCCAUCUUAUCCCCUAACAGCUUCAGGAAAGGAACUAGGUCACAACUUUUACUUAAACCAUAAGGCUUGCAGUUCAUAAUGUUAGCACCUAGACAGAUACAACAUUCUUCCUAGGAUUAAAUUGGGAAAUAUUAUUCAGGUUCAAGAAGGACUGAACAGGAAUAUAAACCACAGCGAUGAUGUAGAUUAAUAGGCACAGCUGGUCCAGAAAACCAAUUUCUCCGAAAGGUUAAAAUCAACGCUAUAACCCUCAUGAAAGAUUAGGCCUAUUCAACCCAUCUCUGUUUUCUAUAUUUGAUGGAGGAUUAAAUGUGACACAAGAAUUAUGAACUUCAAUAAUCGACUCCACUCUUGAUAUAAUAAGAAAAAAAAUAAUUAUUAAAAAAAAAGAACUCAACAAACUACACCAUUGAUUGAAACAUAAACAUCACAAUCUCAUUUCUGAAUGAAAGAUACAAAAUGUAGACAUAGGCAUCUACAUACUAGAAGACAGGAUUUUAAAUUUCUAUGCGAACUUGCAAAAUAAAAAGCAUCACACAUUUAAGUUGAAUACUCAGUAUCAUUAAAAUAAUAAAAUUCACCAUAAGGAAAGAACUCA